AGAGUUUGAUCCUGGCUCAGGAUGAACGCUAGCUACAGGCUUAACACAUGCAAGUCGAGGGGCAGCAUCAUCAAAGCUUGCUUUGAUGGAUGGCGACCGGCGCACGGGUGAGUAACACGUAUCCAACCUGCCGACAACUCUGGGAUAGCCUUUCGAAAGAAAGAUUAAUACCGGAUGGUAUAAUUAUUCCGCAUGGGAUUAUUAUUAAAGAAUUUCGGUUGUCGAUGGGGAUGCGUUCCAUUAGGCAGUUGGCGGGGUAACGGCCCACCAAACCAACGAUGGAUAGGGGUUCUGAGAGGAAGGUCCCCCACAUUGGAACUGAGACACGGUCCAAACUCCUACGGGAGGCAGCAGUGAGGAAUAUUGGUCAAUGGACGAGAGUCUGAACCAGCCAAGUAGCGUGAAGGAUGACUGCCCUAUGGGUUGUAAACUUCUUUUAUAAAGGAAUAAAGUCGGGUAUGGAUACCCGUUUGCAUGUACUUUAUGAAUAAGGAUCGGCUAACUCCGUGCCAGCAGCCGCGGUAAUACGGAGGAUCCGAGCGUUAUCCGGAUUUAUUGGGUUUAAAGGGAGCGUAGGCGGGUUGUUAAGUCAGUUGUGAAAGUUUGCGGCUCAACCGUAAAAUUGCAGUUGAUACUGGCGACCUUGAGUGCAACAGAGGUAGGCGGAAUUCGUGGUGUAGCGGUGAAAUGCUUAGAUAUCACGAAGAACUCCGAUUGCGAAGGCAGCUCACUGGACUGCAACUGACACUGAUGCUCGAAAGUGUGGGUAUCAAACAGGAUUAGAUACCCUGGUAGUCCACACAGUAAACGAUGAAUACUCGCUGUUUGCGAUAUACAGUAAGCGGCCAAGCGAAAGCAUUAAGUAUUCCACCUGGGGAGUACGCCGGCAACGGUGAAACUCAAAGGAAU
rnacentral:rRNA from 1 species